AUCUAGCUGACGAGUCCCAGAUAGGACGAAAUCCUAAUCAUGGAU
rnacentral:hammerhead_ribozyme from 1 species